rnacentral:lncRNA from 1 species
GGAGAAUCAGCAGAGAGAACUGCAGAGCAGCCCUUUCUCAAAGGAGAGCAGCCCCAGCAAGUCCUGCUGGAUGCCAAAGGCUGGGAUACCACCAGCCACGUGCACCAUCAGGGACAGAGCUGCUGCUGGAAAGCAGUGCGUUCAACACUGGCAUUAGUGCCAGAGGAAGAGACCUGAGAUGGAUCCCAAACACCAACAGGAACUUUGCAUCUGAGCAUCACUGCUGACAAACUUGGGUGCUCUACUUGCAUGGCUGAUGGUGAAGACCCUCACAAUGCCAUUGAUAGAACAGAAGACCAAAUACCAGUAAAUCUCUGGUGAAGUAUUGAUCCUUGCACACUCCUCUCAAUUUGUUACCUUAAAGACCCAAUGUGGGGGAGCCCUUUAUGAGGUGAAAACCCACCUCCUCCUCCUAGAAAUAACCUGCAAAUGUGAUUUGCCUCACCAAGGGAUGUGUGCUAGUCUGUUUUUCAGAGUGCUCCUCUGACCUGAUGCUAAGCACCACGUCACAUGAGUGCAGGCAUCACCACCUGUCCUGCACUGCCCAUGGGCAGUACCAAUGGCAGCACUUCACUGACUGCUGCACGACCAAACCCAAAUU